rnacentral:rRNA from 1 species
AUGAGGAACUUGAAAGAUAAAAGAACCAAGAUUUUUCCCUCAACUAUGAGGGGAGGUAAGGAACUGUCAUCUAGCUUUGCACUUGAUUCACCUUUUGUUAUGAGUAAAUUUGCGACACCUACACCUGCACCUGCUAUUGAUUCUGAUAUGUCGCAUGUUACUGAUGAUGCCACUUCUGCUAUGCAUGAUGCUUAUGAUGAAACUACUUCUAUGCUUGAUAAUACUGUGCCAUUAGGUGAAUUUCUUGAUGAACAACUUGCUAAGGUUAGAGAGAAUGAAAUUAUUGAAACUGAUAAUAUUGAUGAAAGUGAUGAUGAAGAUUCUCCCCCUAGAUAUGAAUUGCCUGAUGUACCUGACGAUUAUGUUAUGGAUGAAGAAACUGCUAGAGACCUUUUUGCUUGCAAAUAUAGAUAUGAUCUUAAGAAACUGUUAGCUAAGCUGAAAGAAAAGUCUUUGAAUGCUAGAAUGAAAUAUGACCUUGCUUUUGCUACUUCACAUAUCUGUGUUACUGAUAAGGAUUAUGAUUUCUCUGUCAAUCCCUAG